UAUUGAGAUGUAUUUAUAACUUAAUAUUCAUGACUUUGCGUCUAAUUACAGCAAGAUUUAGGUUCCCCUCUCUUCACAUAUAGAGAAAACAGAUGGACUUUAACAGGUAUUGCCUCAAUUGUUUUCGAAUGUACAGAGCCUGGCCCUCUAGGUAUGUACACUGACAUCUUCCAAGUUAAAUUCUGGAUCGACGAAGUCAUCAACAAUAGAUAAAAAAGAACUCAUUGUAAACUAUUGACUAGUAAAAGACUUCCUUGACA
rnacentral:sRNA from 1 species